GAUGAACGCUGGCGGCGUGCCUAAUACAUGCAAGUCGAGCGAACGGACGAGAAGCUUGCUUCUCUGAUGUUAGCGGCGGACGGGUGAGUAACACGUGUAUAACCUACCUAUAAGACUGGGAUAACUUCGGGAAACCGGAGCUAAUACCGGAGGAGAUUUUGAACCGCAGGGGGCAAAAGUGAAAGACGGUCGUGCUGUCACUUAUAGAGGGAUCCGCGCUGCAUGAGCUAGUUGGUAAGGUAACGGCUUACCAAGGCAACGAUGCAUAGCCGACCUGCGGGGGUGGUAGCCCACACUGGAACUUGGCCACGGUCAAGGCUCCUGCGGUAGGCCGCAGUCGGGAAUCUUCCGCAGUGGGCGAAAGCCUGACGGAGCAGCGCCGCGUGAGUGAUGACGGUCUUCCGAUCGUAAAGCUCUGUUACUAGUGAAGAACCUCUGUGUCAGUAACUGUGCACAUCUUGACGGUACCUAAUAAGAAAGCCACGGCUAACUACGUG
rnacentral:rRNA from 1 species